UACGUAGGGGGCAAGCGUUGUCCGGAUUUAUUGGGCGUAAAGAGCGUGUAGGCGGCUUGGAAGGUCCGUUGUGAAAACUCGAGCUCAACCUCGAGACGCCGAUGGAAACCACCUAGCUAGAGUCCGGAAGAGGAGAGUGGAAUUCCUGGUGUAGCGGUGAAAUGCGCAGAUAUCAGGAAGAACACCCGUGGCGAAAGCGGCUCUCUGGAACGGUACUGACGCUGAGACGCGAAAGCGUGGGGAGCGAACAGGG
rnacentral:rRNA from 1 species